GUCUAUGGCCAUACUACCAGGAACGUGCCUGAUCUCGUGAAGCUAAGCAGGUUUGGGCCUGGUUAGUACUUAGAUGGGAGACCACCUGGGAAUAACGGGUGCUGUAGGCU
rnacentral:rRNA from 2 species